CGAGCAGUAUUUCCAUCGUGUAUCUGUGAAAUGCGUAGAUAGAGUGAUGUAAUCACCAUUUGCGAACGCAGGCUCUCGAGUCUGAGCCUGAGGCUGAGGCUAGAGAGCGUCCUGAGCAAACAGGAUUCCAUACCAUGGCAGUGCACUCCGUAAAUGAUCAGGGAAAUGUGUUGUAGUGUUUCCGCCUCUCAUCUCUCCAGCAACAGCAUUAAUCACUCCGCGUGCGGAGUACGACCGCAUGGUUGAAACUCAAAGGAAUUGACGGGGGCCCGCACCAGCGGAUGAGCAUGUGGUUUGAUUCGAAUCUGAGUUUGAUCAUGGCUCAGGACGAACGCUGGCGGCGUGCCUAAUACAUGCAAGUCGAACGCUUCUUUCCUCCCGAGUGCUUGCACUCAUUUGGAAAGAGGAGUGGCGGACGGGUGAGUAACACGUGGGUAACCUACCCAUCAGAGGGGGAUAACACUUGGAAACAGGUGCUAAUACCGCAUAACAGUUUAUGCCGCAUGGCAUAAGAGUGAAAGGCGCUUUCGGGUGUCACUGAUGGAUGGACCCGCGGUGCAUUAGCUAGUUGGUGAGGUAACGGCUCACCAAGGCCACGAUGCAUAGCCGACCUGAGAGGGUGAUCGGCCACACUGGGACUGAGACACGGCCCAGACUCCUACGGGAGGCAGCAGUAGGGAAUCUUCGGCAAUGGACGAAAGUCUGACCGAGCAACGCCGCGUGAGUGAAGAAGGUUUUCGGAUCGUAAAACUCUGUUGUUAGAGAAGAACAAGGACGUUAGUAACUGAACGUCCCCUGACGGUAUCUAACCAGAGAGGCUGGGCUAACUACGUGCCAGCAGCCGCGGUAAUACGUAGGUGGCAAGCGUUGUCCGGAUUUAUUGGGCGUAAAGCGAGCGCAGGCGGUUUCUUAAGUCUGAUGUGAAAGCCCCCGGCUCAACCGGGGAGGGUCAUUGGAAACUGGGAGACUUGAGUGCAGAAGAGGAGAGUGGAAUUCCAUGUGUAGCGGUGAAAUGCGUAGAUAUAUGGAGGAACACCAGUGGCGAAGGCGGCUCUCUGGUCUGUAACUGACGCUGAGGCUCGAAAGCGUGGGGAGCAAACAGGAUUAGAUACCCUGGUAGUCCACGCCGUCCACGAUGAGUGCUAAGUGUUGGAGGGUUUCCGCCCUUCAGUGCUGCAGCAAACGCAUUAAGCACUCCGCCUGGGAGAGUCCUACCGCAAGGUUGAAACUCAAAGGAAUUGACGGGGGCCCGCACAAGCGGUGGAGCAUGUGGUUUAAUUCGAAGCAACGCGAAGAACCUUACCAGGUCUUGACAUCCUUUGACCACUCUAGAGAUAGAGCUUUCCCUUCGGGGACAAAGUGACAGGUGGUGCAUGGUUGUCGUCAGCUCGUGUCGUGAGAUGUUGGGUUAAGUCCCGCAACGAGCGCAACCCUUAUUGUUAGUUGCCAUCAUUUAGUUGGGCACUCUAGCGAGACUGCCGGUGACAAACCGGAGGAAGGUGGGGAUGACGUCAAAUCAUCAUGCCCCUUAUGACCUGGGCUACACACGUGCUACAAUGGGAAGUACAACGAGUCGCUAGACCGCGAGGUCAUGCAAAUCUCUUAAAGCUUCUCUCAGUUCGGAUUGCAGGCUGCAACUCGCCUGCAUGAAGCCGGAAUCGCUAGUAAUCGCGGAUCAGCACGCCGCGGUGAAUACGUUCCCGGGCCUUGUACACACCGCCCGUCACACCACGAGAGUUUGUAACACCCGAAGUCGGUGAGGUAACCUUUUUGGAGCCAGCCGCCUAAGGUGGGAUAGAUGAUUGGGGGUGAAGUCGUACAGGGUAAACCGUAAAUUGCUCU
rnacentral:rRNA from 1 species